rnacentral:lncRNA from 1 species
AACUGCCUGAAAUGAAAAUUCUCAUUUUUCUCUAGAAUUUAAAUAUUUAUUUUCAUCAAUUAUUUUUUCAAAGGGCCACCCACGUUUUUGGCAAUAAAAACCCCACUAAUUAAAGCAUUUAACCUUAAACUUAAAUGGCACUCAUGUUUUUUCUCUUAAAUGAAAUUUGACCCUUCAUUUGUUUUAAGUUAUGAGAUAUUUACAUAUAAAUAGAGACCUCAUUUCACUCAAUUUUUUCUCACACCAAAAGCAAGAGUUUUUACAUACUAAAGAAAGAGUCUCCAAGAGAGAAAAAGAGAGGGAGGAAAACUAUUUUUCCUAGAAGUUUAAGAAGUGUUUUCAAGCAUCAAUUGUCAACGAUUUUCAAACAUCCAAGGAGUGCAUUUCUUUUAACGUCCAAGUUUCAUCGAAGUUUUCAAUUCAAGUUUUCAAAGUUUCAAAAGCAUCAAUCAAGGUAGGUAGAGGUACAAUGUAUUUGAUCGUGUUAAGUUAUAAGUUUCGAUUCAUGUUAAUGUUUGUAUGUCAAAUGGUACUCCGG